rnacentral:rRNA from 1 species
CUGCUGCCUCCCGUAGGAGUUUGGGCCGUGUCUCAGUCCCAAUGUGGCCGUUCACCCUCUCAGGCCGGCUACUGAUCGUUGCCUUGGUAGGCCAUUACCCCACCAACUAGCUAAUCAGACGCGGAACCAUCGUAUACCACCGGAGUUUUUCACACCGCUUCAUGCGAAGCUGUGCGCUUAUGCGGUAUUAGCACCUAUUUCUAAGUGUUAUCCCCCAGUAUACGGCAGGUUUUCCACGCGUUACUCACCCGUCCGCCA